rnacentral:rRNA from 1 species
UACGUAGGGGGCAAGCGUUGUCCGGAUUUAUUGGGCGUAAAGAGCUCGUAGGCGGCCUGUUGCGUCCGCUGUGAAAUCCCGGGGCUUAACCCCGGGCGUGCAGUGGAUACGGGCUGGCUGGAGGCAGGCAGGGGAGAACGGAAUUCCCGGUGUAGCGGUGAAAUGCGCAGAUAUCAGGAGGAACACCGGUGGCGAAGGCGGGUCUCUGGGCCGAUACUGACGCUGAGGAGCGAAAGCGUGGGGAGCGAACAGG